rnacentral:rRNA from 1 species
UACGUAGGGUGCAAGCGUUAAUCGGAAUUACUGGGCGUAAAGCGUGCGCAGGCGGUCUCUUAAGUCAGGUGUGAAAUCCCCGGGCUUAACCUGGGAACUGCGCUUGUAACUGAGAGGCUUGAGUGUGCCAGAGGGGGGUGGAAUUCCAGGUGUAGCGGUGAAAUGCGUAGAUAUCUGGAGGAACACCGGUGGCGAAGGCGGCAUCCUGGACCAAUUCUGACGCUGAGUGAGCGAAAGCCAGGGGAGCAAACGGG